rnacentral:tRNA from 4 species
GCGGGUGUAGCUCAGUGGUAGAGCGUCACGUUGCCAACGUGAAUGUCGUCGGUUCGAAUCCGAUCACCCGCU